rnacentral:tRNA from 1 species
UGGCCGAGCGGUAAAGCGCUUGGUUCUGAACCGGGGGUCCCGGGUUCGAAUCCUGG